UCUCUCUCCAAGACGUUGCACCGAGAGGUCCCUCUCUUCUUCCUCACGAUGAGUCUGCUCCGAAGUAAAGCCUGAGCUUCGCUGUAGCAAGAAGCUAUGGCAAGGCUCAUCCAAGCGCGUCAUUGGUGGUGCCCAAUUCUGGAGUAGGAGGGCUGAUUCCGGAGAGUAGAGGAGGGCAAUUCUCUUUGUCUGGUUCUUCCUUCUUUGUUGUAGCUCUCUCGAGUUAAGGUCUUUCUUAGGCAAGCACUGAAUUGUAUUGAUUUUGAGGUAAAUAAAGGGGAACAGAGUUAGUCCUCUGCAGAUGGUGGCAAGCCCAUGAUGGGCGGUGGCAACCUGUAACGGCGGGUAGCAGGCGGUUUCUGGCCAGUGGCGUGGGCGUGGGUGUCCGGCCAAGGGUGGUGGGCGACGGUGUCCGACGGCAGGUGGCCAGCAGCAGGUGUACAGAGGUGGCGGCGAUGGGUGGCUAGCCGGCAGUGGCAGUUGGUUGCAUGUAGACAUGUGGCACAUAACUCUGCUUUAAAUAAACUACUAUUUCUUUCGCAUACAAAAAAUUGGAAAACAAGUUCGGCAACGUAGCAUUUUUGUAUUUUUAAAAAUAUACCAUCAAGGUCCAUCAAUUCGAUAACAUAUUGGGAUUUGAUUAUGGCCUUAGUUUUAGUAAAAUAAUGUUGAGAAAUUUAAA